rnacentral:rRNA from 1 species
AGGGCACCACCAGGAGUGGAGCCUGCGGCUUAAUUUGACUCAACACGGGGAAACUCACCCGGCCCGGACACCGUAAGGAUUGACAGAUUGAUAGCUUUUUCAUGAUUCGGUGGAUGGUGGUGCAUGGCCGUUCUUAGUUCGUGGAGCGAUUUGUCUGGUUUAUUCCGAUAACGAGCGAGACUCUAGCCUACUAAAUAGUUCGCACAUUGUCUCUGUGUGUGUGACUUCUUAGAGGGACUUUCGGUGUUCAGCCGCACGAAAUUGAGCAAUAACAGGUCUGUGAUGCCCUUAGAUGUCCGGGGCUGCACGCGCGCUACACUGGCAAAAUCAGCGUGCUUGUCCUUCCCCGAAAGGGGUUGGUAAACCCUUGAAAAUUUGCCGUGAUUGGGAUUGGAAAUUGCAAUUAUUUUCCAUGAACGAGGAAUUCCAAGUAAGUGCGAGUCAUCAGCUCGCGUUGAUUACGUCCCUGCCCUUUGUACACACCGCCCGUCGCUGCCCGGGACUGAGCCAUUUCGAGAA